UGAGGAUGUAGCUCAGUUGGUAGAGUGCUUGCCUUCCAAGUACAAGGCCCUGGGUUCAAUCCCCAGCACCACAA
rnacentral:tRNA from 1 species